GUAAAUUAUUCAUAUAAAUAAUUUCAAAUCAUUCAUUAUUGGUAUUCAACUUAAUUUGCAAUUAAUUAGUACAAAGUAAUAAAGUAACGUAAAAACAUAAUUCGCAUUGAUAGUUUCAUGUUUAGUUCCAGUGUCUUGUUCUUCGCGGCCCGGUAGCAAUGCAACGGUUGUUAACCGAGUUUUAUCUACUUACUCAUUCUUGAUUUUUUAAAUAUUUUCCGUUUAUGAUUUGAAAAUUUGUGAUUUAGUUUAUUUAUUAUUGACAACUUAUACAAGCUUGGGAUUUGUGUAUUUAUUAUUGUUUGGCUGUACAAAGCAAUCAAUUCAAUUUACAUAUUUACAAAUUUACAGCGAUAAUUUUAACACGAAUUUUAACCGACUUCAAAAAAAGAAGGAGGUUCUUUAUUUUCGAUUCAGUCAUUAUGUCAUCAGUGGAAAUAAAAUAUCUUGUUAAGAAACGCGGCGUAAUCAAGGACCGUUUAACGACAUUCGUCAAUUAUGUAGACAAAUUAGACUCGUUAACGUCAGUGCAAGCGACUGAGCUUCAAAUUCGCCUCAACAAAACUAUUACACUUUUAGCUCAAUUUGAUGAUAUUCAACCCAACAUUGAAUGUAGUAUAGUAGAUGAAAAAGACUUAGUCGUUCACUCAACUGAGCGAACCGAUUUCGAGUACUUGUAUUACGCGACUGUCGCGUCCGCACAAGAAAUAUUAAACGUAAAUAAACCUGCCAAUAAUUCAGAUAACGACUCAUGCAGUGGUUCGUACGUUUCAGGCGAGUAGCAUACACGAGGAAAGGCCAACCGCACGAGCACUACAGGCGUCAAGUUGCCCACCAUCCAAAUCCCUGAAUUCAGCGGUCUGUAUGAGAACUGGUUGGAGUUUCAUGACACUUUCAUUUCGUUAAUACAUAAAAACAGCUCUAUCUCGAAUGUACAGAAGUUUCAUUAUUAGAGGGCUUCCCUGGAAGGAGGCGCUGCUCAGGUGCGGACUAGACGGGGCCACUGACCACUGCUGAAUGUAAGGGACGCGGAUGACCUUUCACCGCUCUACCAGUGCCAAAACCAGAUGACAUCAAUCCGACUAGACUACAGAGAUGGGAUCGAGUGGAGAGACUUCGCCAGCGCUUCUGGAUAAGGUGGCAAAAGGAGUAUGUCUCAGAACUGCAGUAGAAAACAAAGUGGAGACAAUGUACGGGCUGCCUAGACAAAGUAACAAUGGUUAUCAUUAAAAAAGAUGCACUCCCUCCAGGAGCUGAGCAGAGUCGCAGACAUAUGUACUUACAAAGGCAAUAUCAGAAGAGCCUUUAACCGAAUCUGUGCUCUUCCUAUGUACAAUGAUCCUGUUGAAAGCCAGGACUUUCAACGCCGGGGGACAUGUCGAGAAUCAGCAUCAACGUCACCAGGCCACUGAAGGGUGAGACAUCGCCGCCGCGGGGAACGGGCGUCCAAUGAGCGCUCCACCACAGUUUUUAUUCAAAAUUAA